rnacentral:rRNA from 1 species
UAGGGAAUCUUCCGCAAUGGGCGAAAGCCUGACGGAGCAACGCCGCGUGAGUGAUGAAGGUCUUCGGAUCGUAAAACUCUGUUAUUAGGGAAGAACAAAUGUGUAAGUAACUAUGCACGUCUUGACGGUACCUAAUCAGAAAGCCACGGCUAACUACGUGCCAGCAGCCGCGGUAAUACGUAGGUGGCAAGCGUUAUCCGGAAUUAUUGGGCGUAAAGCGCGCGUAGGCGGUUUUUUAAGUCUGAUGUGAAAGCCCACGGCUCAACCGUGGAGGGUCAUUGGAAACUGGAAAACUUGAGUGCAGAAGAGGAAAGCGGAAUUCCAUGUGUAGCGGUGAAAUGCGCAGAGAUAUGGAGGAACACCAGUGGCGAAGGCGACUUUCUGGUCUGUAACUGACGCUGAUGUGCGAAAGCGUGGGGAUCAAACAGG